rnacentral:rRNA from 1 species
GACGAACGCUGGCGGCGUGCUUAACACAUGCAAGUCGAACGGUGAAGCCCUUCGGGGUGGAUCAGUGGCGAACGGGUGAGUAACACGUGAGCAACCUGCCCCUGGCUCUGGGACAACCACUGGAAACGGUGGCUAAUACCGGAUACGACCCGCCCCGGCGUCGAGUGUGGGUGGAAAGUUUUUCGGCUGGGGAUGGGCUCGCGGCCUAUCAGCUUGUUGGUGAGGUGAAGGCUCACCAAGGCGACGACGGGUAGCCGGCCUGAGAGGGCGACCGGCCACACUGGGACUGAGACACGGCCCAGACUCCUACGGGAGGCAGCAGUGGGGAAUAUUGCACAAUGGGCGAAAGCCUGAUGCAGCGACGCCGCGUGAGGGAUGACGGCCUUCGGGUUGUAAACCUCUUGCAGCUCCGAAGAAGCGAAAGUGACGGUAGGAGCAGAAGAAGCACCGGCUAACUACGUG